GCCCUAAAUAAAAAAUUUAAGGUGUAACCUGCCCAAUGGUUUAAGCUAAUUUUAAUAAAAAUAAAAAUAAAAAACUUAAUGGCUGCAGUAACCAUGACUGUAAGAAAGUAGCAUAAUAAUUCGCCACCUAAUUAGUGGAUGGUAUGAAUGGUUGAACGAAAAUUCCACUGUCUUAUAUAAUUAAUAAAAAAUUUAAGUUACAGUUAAGAUGCUGUAUAAAAUUGUAAGACGAAAAGACCCUAUAAAGCUUAACUAUAACCCUUUAUAAAAUAAUUUAAGAAAUUAAAAAUAAAAAUAAAGGAUUGGUAGUUUCAUUGGGGCGAUGAUCUCUAAAAAAAAACAGAGAUAAUUCUAAAAUAUAAUUAUUUUACUGUAUAACAAAUAUAUUUAACAGUUACUAAGUAGGAUAUAAUGACCCACUAUUUAAUCAAAUAAAAAAAUAGUGAUCAAUAAAUAAAAGCUACUUUAGGGAUAACAGGAUAAUAUUUUCUUAGAGCUCCUAUCGAAGAAAAAGUUUAUCACCUCGAUGUUGAAUUAAGAUAACCUCAUGAUGCAGACGUCAUGGAAGGCAGGUCUGUUCGACCUUUAAUAUCUU
rnacentral:rRNA from 1 species